rnacentral:rRNA from 1 species
AAAUUGAAGAGUUUGAUCAUGGCUCAGAUUGAACGCUGGCGGCAGGCCUAACACAUGCAAGUCGAACGGUAACAGGAAGCAGCUUGCUGCUUCGCUGACGAGUGGCGGACGGGUGAGUAAUGUCUGGGAAACUGCCUGAUGGAGGGGGAUAACUACUGGAAACGGUAGCUAAUACCGCAUAAUGUCGCAAGACCAAAGAGGGGGACCUUCGGGCCUCUUGCCAUCGGAUGUGCCCAGAUGGGAU